UACGUAGGGUGCAAGCGUUAAUCGGAAUUACUGGGCGUAAAGCGUGCGCAGGCGGUUGUGCAAGACCGAUGUGAAAGCCCCGGGCUCAACCUGGGAAUGGCAGUGGAAACUAGGGGACUGGAAUCUGGCAGAGGGGGGUGGAAUGCCGCGUGUAGCAGUGAAAUGCGUAGAGAUGCGGCGGAACACCGACGGCGAAGGCAGCCCCCUGGGCUGAGAUUGACGCUCAGGCACGAAAGCGUGGGGAGCAAACAGG
rnacentral:rRNA from 1 species